rnacentral:rRNA from 1 species
ACCAGACUCCUACGGGAGGCAGCAGUGGGGAAUACUGCACAAUGGGGGAAACCCUGAUGCAGCGACGCCGCGUGAGCGAUGAAGUAUUUCGGUAUGUAAAGCUCUAUCAGCAGGGAAGAAAAUGAUGGUACCUGACUAAGAAGCCCCGGCUAACUACGUGCCAGCAGCCGCGGUAAUACGUAGGGGGCAAGCGUUAUCCGGAUUCACUGGGUGUAAAGGGAGCGUAGACGGCGGCGCAAGCCAGAUGUGAAAGCCCGGGGCUCAACCCCGGGACUGCAUUUGGAACUGGGUGUCUUGAGGGCAGGAGAGGAAAGUGGAAUUCCUAGUGUAGCGGUGAAAUGCGUAGAUAUUAGGAGGAACACCAGUGGCGAAGGCGGCUUACUGGACUGUAACUGACGUUGAGGCUCGAAAGCGUGGGGAGCAAACAGGAUUAGAUACCCCAGUA